rnacentral:ncRNA from 1 species
AAAUAAAUUAGAGGUAGCAAUGCAAAUGAGUACUACACGAGAGGAGGCAUCCGACGACCGUGUACGAAAGGUAAUCAUUGCCGAACGUUAGCAACAGAGGUAUCUGGCUAGCGUGGGGGUAUAGGAAACACCUAUACCACUCGGACUUGAAUAAGUCUGGCGCUAAGUGAUCG